UCUCUCUUCUUCCAAAUUUUUUUUUUUUUCUCUCUUCUUGUUUUUUCCAAGUGAAGAAGAAUGCUUCGAAGAACUAGGGGAAGGAGAUUCAUGUUAAGUAAUCUUAAAGAUAAGGUUUCCUGAUUUUGUACAAUGGCAUGGGUUUGAUUUGAUCUGUUUGGUUUGAUUUGGCGUGAAACUAAUACAAUCGAAUGGGUUCCUUCUCUGUUAUUGUGAUAUGAUUUGGUUACUUCCUCUGAUCCUCCCUUCGUGUUUAUUUUUUUUGGGUUUUUGAACUUAGUAAUCGUUCUUGUGUUGUGUUUUACAUAUCUAGGGUUUUUUUUCUGUUUGGUUUGAUUCAGCCUAAACUAUUAGGGUUCCUUAAUCCCUCCUUGUCUCCGCUUCAUCAAGAUUCUAUAUUGGGGACAUUGUCAACUGUUGGCUUGGUAGUGCAUGUUGGGAAUUGGAAAUGAGGUUGCGAUUUGUUGGAUGAUCCUACGACUUUAUAAGUCUUAAGAGAAAAACAUUGGAAGGGAAUUGUUGGCUUGGUAGUGCAUGCUUGUUGGGGAAAAUUAUAAGAUAAAGAGUCAAAUGACUUGAAUGGGAAUGAGCUAAGAAAAAAGACAUGUACAAGAACUAAAGUGUUCUAAUAUUUUGGUACCCUUGGCUUGGAAAAUCAUAAUGGGAAAGAGCCUUAAGACA